GUCAGUUAAAAUGAAAUUUAUUUUAACAGUUACAAAAGUAGAGGUUAUUUCGUCUAGUAUGGUUCAGACUGGUCGAGUAUUGUUCAGACCUUUGGUUAAGUAUGGUUUAGACUGGAAAAAUAGGUCGAGUACAGAUCAAGAAUUGGUUAAGACUGUUUCAGACUGGUCGAGUAAUAGUUCAGACUAUUUUCAACGGCAAAGAUAAUGGUCAAGUACGAUUCAGUACAGUCGAGUAUGGUUCAAACUGGGGUCGAGUAAUGUCAAGUAAAAGUUAGACCAAUUCAGACUGGU
rnacentral:lncRNA from 1 species